rnacentral:rRNA from 1 species
AUUGAACGCUGGCGGCAUGCUUUACACAUGCAAGUCGAACGGUGGCAGGCCGCAAGGUGCUGACGAGUGGCGAACGGGUGAGUAAUGCAUCGGAACGUGCCCCGUCGUGGGGGAUAACGCAGCGAAAGCUGCGCUAAUACCGCAUACGAUCUCUGGAUGAAAGCGGGGGAUCGAAAGGCCUCGCGCGAUGGGAGCGGCCGAUGUCAGAUGAGGUAGUUGGGUGGGUAGAGCCACAACAAGACAACGAUCUGUAGCUGGUCUGAAAGGACGACCAGACGGACUGGGACUGAGACACGGGCGAGACUCGGACGGGAGGCAGCAGUGGGGAAUUUUGGACAAUGGGCGCAAGACUGAUCCAGCAAUGCCGCUUGCAUGAAGAAGGCCUUCGGGUUGUAAACUGCUUUUGUACGGAACGAAACGGUCCGGGUUAAUACCCUGGGCUAAUGACGGUACCGUAAGAAUAAGCACCGGCUAACUACGUGCCAGCCGCCGCCGUAACAC